CGGGCAUGUGUCCCGCACGCGGCUCAAGGGCUCACCAUCCACCGGGAAACCUGGAGCCGCUGGGGCCUUCGGGGCGGCUGCGCCGAUCUUCAGGGCUCUCCCGUUCCUCCGGGCAGGAGCCUGGCCCACAAAACUCGUUUUUUUUCUUUUUUUUUUAAUAUUUUAUUUAUUUAUUCAUGAGAGACACAGAGAGACAGAGGCAGAGACCCGGGCAGAGGGAGAAGCAGGUCCCUGCAGGGAGCCCUACGCGGGACUCGAUCUCGGGACCCCGGGGUCAUGCCCUGGGCCGCAGGCCGACGCCCCACCGCUGAGCGCCCCCGGGGCCCCCCAGCCAAGCUGUUUCACCAGAAGAACCGGCCUGUGGCCUCCUGCGGAUGAUGAGCCGCGCUGCCGAGUUUCUCCGUUAUAAAUACACUGUAGGGCCCUGUGACUUGGCCAUAAAUCGCCGCACUGUGCUCAGGUGAUGUUGCCCGAUGCUGGGCGGUAUUUAUAGCUUUGUUCACUGUUCCCUGGGAUCUUUUUUUCUUUUUCUUUUUUUGCACAUUCCGGGUAACGCAUGUGUCCCCACCACCCACGCUGAGGAGGGGAGAUGAACUUCCGGGCCGUCUCUGUUCUCCCUGCAGCACCUUGGAGGGCUGGUUUCCUACAGCCCAUCGCCUCCCUCCCGCGGCCCAACCGCCAGCCGUGCGGCUCCCUGUCGCCUUUGCACAAUCCAGAAAAGGGACGUUGGUCUGCGUGUCUCCGUCCCGGGAGCCGACUCCAGGGGAGGCACCACGAUCGCCACAGUGGACGGUCCCGUGCGCGGCUUCGGAGUCAGCAGGGCAAGGCUCAGUGCACCCUAAAGGCCCCAGAGCCACCAGGGAGGCUGGAGCGCCGGCAAGAGCUGGGGGCCGCGAAGGGCAGGGGCAGGUCCCUGGGGCCCCCGUGGGGUGACCCCCCAGGCUCUGGACGGUCCCCCACCCGGAGGUGCUGGCCAGCGGUCCCGGGUUUGAACAGGAUGGAGGCUGGUGCCUUCCUCACGACAUGGCCCUGCGAGAAGCUGUUGGCCGACGACGUCUUCACCCGGAAAUGCCACCAGAGCUGCAGCCAGACUGUCUGGCAGGCCCCGCUGGGCCCGUUCCCGGCAGGAGGGAGCUGGGACGCGGUGGGAGCAGCCUCUGACCAGGCAUUUGCCCAGCGCACCUGCGCCCGGGAACCCCUCCGCGGCCUCUCCGGGGAACAGCCCCUGACGCCCCACAGAAGCUGAGGGGCCAUGGGUCUGGGGCCUCAGCCCUGGCAGGAAACCGAGGCCCAGUGAGGAAAGGGGCGUGGGCCACACGGUGACGUGACUGCGGGUGCCGGCUCUCCCUCCUCCGCUCCUGGGCACCCGGGCAUCUCCACGCACGUACGCUCUCGGGCUCUGCGGGUGUCUCCCUCCGUCUGUGCCUCCCCACCCUGCGUGAUCAGCUCCGGGCUGCAGAGGGCUGAGCCUGCCUCAGUUUCCCAUCCCGGAUGCUGCCUCCGUACAUGUGCACAGGAUGGACGUGCAGGUGAG
rnacentral:lncRNA from 1 species